rnacentral:rRNA from 1 species
UACGAAGGGUGCUAGCGUUGUUCGGAAUCACUGGGCGUAAAGCGUGCGUAGGCGGCUAAACAAGUCAGGGGUGAAAUGCCAAGGCUCAACCUUGGAACUGCCUUUGAAACUGUUUAGCUUGAGACUCGGAGGGGAUAGCGGAAUUUCUAAUGUAGCGGUGAAAUGCGUAGAUAUUAGAAGGAACACCGGUGGCGAAGGCGGCUAUCUGGACGAGUACUGACGCUGAGGCACGAAAGCGUGGGGAUCAAACAGG